rnacentral:rRNA from 1 species
GAUGAACGCUGGCGGCGUGCCUAACACAUGCAAGUCGAGCGAUCUUCUUCGGAAGAGAGCGGCGGACGGGUGAGUAACGCGUGGGUAACCUGCCCUGUACACACGGAUAACAUACCGAAAGGUAUGCUAAUACGGGAUAAUAUGCUUUUAUCGCAUGGUAGAAGUAUCAAAGCUCCGGCGGUACAGGAUGGACCCGCGUCUGACUAGCUAGUUGGUAAGGUAACGGCUUACCAAGGCGACGAUCAGUAGCCGACCUGAGAGGGUGAUCGGCCACAUUGGAACUGAGACACGGUCCAAACUCCUACGGGAGGCAGCAGUGGGGAAUAUUGCACAAUGGGCGAAAGCCUGAUGCAGCAACGCCGCGUGAGCGAUGAAGGCCUUCGGGUCGUAAAGCUCUGUCCUCAAGGAAGAUAAUGACGGUACUUGAGGAGGAAGCCCCGGCUAACUACGUGCCAGCCGCCGCAGUAA